CAAGUCGGCCGGGAUUCAAUAGCUUGCUAUUGAUGAGAGUGGCGCACGGGUGCGUAACGCGUGAGCAACCUGCCCAUUUCAGGGGGAUAGUCCGGAGAAAUCCGGAUUAAGACCGCAUAUGAUCACGUUACCGCAUGGUAGAGUGAUGAAAUAUUCAUAGGAAAUGGAUGGGCUCGCGUGACAUUAGCUAGUUGGUAGGGUAACGGCCUACCAAGGCGACGAUGUCUAGGGGCUCUGAGAGGAGAAUCCCCCACACUGGUACUGAGACACGGACCAGACUCCUACGGGAGGCAGCAGUAAGGAAUAUUGGUCAAUGGGGGAAACCCUGAACCAGCCAUGCCGCGUGCAGGAAGACGCCCCUACGGGUUGUAAACUGUUUUUGCACGGGAAUAACCCUCAUUAUGUAUAAUGAGCUGAAUGUACCGUGAGAAUAAGGAUCGGCUAACUCCGUGCCAGCAGCCGCGGUAAUACGGAGGAUCCGAGCGUUAUCCGGAAUUAUUGGGUUUAAAGGGUGCGCAGGCGGGGAUCUAAGUCAGGGGUGAAAGACGUGUGGCUCAACCAUCGCAGUGCCUUUGAUACUGGAUUCCUUGAAUAUACCUGAGGUAGGCGGAAUGUGGCAAGUAGCGGUGAAAUGC
rnacentral:rRNA from 1 species